rnacentral:rRNA from 1 species
GACGAACGCUGGCGGCGUGCUUAACACAUGCAAGUCGAACGGAAAGGCCUCUUUCGGGGGGUACUCGAGUGGCGAACGGGUGAGUAACACGUGAGUAACCUGCCCUUGACUUUGGGAUAACUUCAGGAAACUGGGGCUAAUACCGGAUAGGAGCUCCUGCUGCAUGGUGGGGGUUGGAAAGUUUCGGCGGUUGGGGAUGGACUCGCGGCUUAUCAGCUUGUUGGUGGGGUAGUGGCUUACCAAGGCUUUGACGGGUAGCCGGCCUGAGGGGGUGACCGGCCACAUUGGGACUGAGAUACGGCCCAGACUCCUACGGGAGGCAGCAGUGGGGAAUAUUGCACAAUGGGUGGAAGCCUGAUGUAGCAACGCCGUGUGCGGGAUGACGGCCUUCGGGUUGUAAACCGCUUUCGCUCAUGACGGAGCUUUGUGUGACGGUAGUGGGUAAAGAAGCACCGGCUAACUACGUG